GCUUUUGGCUUCGCAAAAUGUUACUUUAAGAACUAGAGCGGUGUGGAUUAUCGUGAUUAUCAGCUCAUUCUGACGGCACCCAUUCACUGCAUUUCCUUUUUUCCGAAUCCGUCGUAGAUACAAACUCGCCUCGCAUACGCCGAGCGCGCAUUCCCUCAGGCCUGGAGAACAAUGCACUUUCUGAAGCGAGAGUUUCCCUGGGUCUGUUAUUUUGCGUGCAGCCACGAAGCAGAGCCGAUUAUGGAGCUCCUCGAUCCUCGGCAGGGGCUCGGACGGCGCGAAACAAAAGGCCGGCGCGCGCAGACCUCCGGUUCUGUCGUGGCAUGUUGCAUAUGCCUUCCUGUACAGGAGCGUGUUCUCCUCUCUGAAAUCAGCUGAGCGAGGUGCCCUGCGCCCGCGGGUUCCUGCCAGCCGUGGCGAAUGAAUUUCGACAGCUGCGCGGCCACAGAUAGUCACAUUGUGUCAUGGCGGAGCAGGGGCCGAGGAGAGGGAGGAAUACGGGAGAGCUGGAGCCUCUCGCUGCUGACCUGAGACCUGUCAAAGCCCCUUCAGCCUGCUGCGGCUUCACGUCAACAACAUCUGCUAACAAUCUGCCUACAAUUAGUCAGAUGCCCGGGAAGGUUUCGUCAAGCGACACCUGUUCAUUCUGCCAUCGCAGGCGGACACCUUCUGGCAGAGGGCCGGAUUAAACGCAGCGAUUUCUGCUAAAAUACAGAAAAUAGCGCAGUUUCUCAUCUGUCACAGGGAAGUCACAAGUGAUGUUUGCUAUUUUUUUAUAUAUGCUCCCGGUUUUAGUGUGCAUGAUUCAUCUGUGCACAUAAAACCGCUCGUAAUCUUUCAUCAAAAUGUAAUAACCUGCUCUGAAAUGUUCCUUUUCAGCUGACGUGAUCAAUCGGGGUCAGUCCAAUUGGCAAGCGUCUCGCUAAGGCCUUCAGGAAAUGUGGAUGGUACCAGCAAACACGCUGUGCGACGAUCACGCUUUAUCGUACGCUAUCUUUGGGCUAUCUUUCCGGGACAGCUGGAAAUCAUGCAGCGCGUUUCGGGGCCGAAGAGAUCGCAUCAAGAGAGUUGUGAGAUUUUUCAGAAGCGGCUCGUCUCCGUUCUUCUCAUUCGCGGUGGCAUUGUCUGACGCGCAUCUGGAGUUUCGCGACUAGGCCCGAGCGAAACUCUCGAAGAAGUCGUAAUCGAAUCUAAUUUCAAAGGCCGAGCGUCCUCCGUGUUCCUGGAUCGGUGCGCAGGUGGCAGAUGGUGAGGUGAAAACCCGAUCCGCUGACUUUUGGCUCUGGAUGCAGUAUAGAGGACCAGAGGAAGAUGAAGGCAACUUUGAUGUCUCAUUCAGCCGUCCGUUUGAUGUCACUCCGUUAUCCAGGAGCAAAGAUGGAUUCGCUGCUAAGAAUUUGCAAAAGCAGACAACUGAUCUUUUGAAGAAGUGCAGCUUUAAAAGGCUUUGUGCCUGCCAUAUCUUAAUGGAGACAUAUUUUCACUUGUUCGCAAAUUGGGUGUUUCUUCAACUACAGACACUUUUAUAUCCCACGGAUUUAUUCUUAUUCUAGCUGACAGAUUUCAACUUUUUUUUUGAUUUACGAAGGCCGCAUUAAAUCGUCUUGGAAGCGUUUUUACUACCACUUCAUCUUUUUUUUUUGUUACGAUUUUUGUGUAUAGAUUUUUUUUUCUCCAGACUUCAGUCUUAUCAAAUAUUUAUCACAUCCCCCCCAAAAAAUGAUGCCGUAUUGAAGCGAGUGCAUUAAUGAGCGUCGGCUCGAGACGUGUGAAACUCCUUAAGGCACGGCCAAACUUAAAUUAGCACAAAACGGUCACAUGUCAGCCUUUAAACCACGCAAUCGGCCGUACUUGCGUUUUUAACAAAAUAAAAGCAUCGGAUGCAGUCGGUCUCUUUGAAUUCCCUAUAAACAGCUUUUAUCGGGGAGUUUUGAGGACGGAAAGACAAGAAGGCAGUGUAAAGCCGGCACGAGUGCAGGAUAAUACCGGCUGCUUAUCACUGGAUAGCCAUCGACUCACUGAUAUGAAGGUUGCGGUGAAAGAUGACCUAUUGCUUAUUGACAGUCAACCGUCAAAACAGACCUGCAACCGGUUUCUGAAAACCAGGGCUUUAAGAUCCAAUUAAUCCCCGGGGAGACGGUACGGGAGAAGCUGCAGCCGACACAAAGAUGAAGCUUGUUUUACCUCAGAUCAUGGCAAACUGAAACAUUUGUCUCCUGAGCACUCGUCGCCUUCUCUCUCGUGUUCUUGCAGAGCCGGUUUCAUCCCGGGUGACAGGAUCCGCUUCGACAGACGAAGGCUUUUAAACGCCGCUGAAAAAUUACUCGGCACGGCAGGUGUUUGCUGUUUGUUUUCAAUUCCCAUUAGUCUCUUCAGACUGGAUUUGGCGGGCCUCUCUAACCUGGGCCAGGCUGGGUAAACUGCGUCUAGCCGCGGUCUCGGCGGAUAGUCGCUGGAAUCAGGAGGGUCUUGUGGUAAACACGCGGCUCUCAGCGUGUCCCGCCGCUGCUCUUUGAAGCUCUGCUGUGUGAUGGCUGGCAGCACUACACACGGCCACCAGACAGGAGUUUAUGCUAAACGUGUUUUCCAGCGUAAAAUCACUUUGUAGUAGCUGCUGCUGCUUCCCUCGAGUCUCUGCAUUCGAGAGCAAAUGCUAAUGGAAAGUAAGCGAUGCAGUAAGUUGGUUAUGCGUCGUAUAAACAUGCAUGGAACAAAAAGCAUGUUGCGUGAAAACAUCACUCUAACUUAGGCGUUUUUAUUUCUAAAAUUAGUUUGCUUUAUUCAACCAAGUCUACAGAAAUAUAAAGAAUAAUUGGUGGAGAGUGCAAAUGAUGGAUAUGCUUUUUUUAUUAAUUGUUUCCUAACAUUGCAAUCGUUCUGCAUGCUUUUUAGUAUAUUAGC